AGACCCGAAACCCGGUGAUCUAGCCAUGGGCAGGUUGAAGGUUGGGUAACACUAACUGGAGGACCGAACCGACUAAUGUUGAAAAAUUAGCGGAUGACCUGUGGCUGGGGGUGAAAGGCCAAUCAAACCGGGAGAUAGCUGGUUCUCCCCGAAAGCUAUUUAGGUAGCGCCUCGUGAAUUCAUCUCCGGGGGUAGAGCACUGUUUCGGCUAGGGGGCCAUCCCGGCUUACCAACCCGAUGCAAACUGCGAAUACCGGAGAAUGUUAUCACGGGAGACACACGGCGGGUGCUAACGUCCGUCGUGAAGAGGGAAACAACCCAGACCGCCAGCUAAGGUCCCAAAGUCAUGGUUAAGUGGGAAACGAUGUGGGAAGGCCCAGACAGCCAGGAUGUUGGCUUAGAAGCAGCCAUCAUUUAAAGAAAGCGUAAUAGCUCACUGGUCGAGUCGGCCUGCGCGGAAGAUGUAACGGGGCUAAACCAUGCACCGAAGCUGCGGCAGCGAACGUAUCACCCAAGACAACUUUACGGAGUUGACGAUUGACGGAGCGAAGCGACGUCAAAGCGUUCAUUAAAGUCGAGUUGG
rnacentral:rRNA from 1 species